rnacentral:sRNA from 1 species
UUGACAUCAUCUCAAGACUCCGAAACAUUUCUGAAGAAAAAAAUAGAUCAAAACUUAGAGAAUGAUAAAUCUCAUCUACUUGGUGAUCUAUAUCGCUUUCCUGAUCCUAAUGGCUGAAGUCAGCUGGGCACUUCCAUUAAAUGAGGAAGAGUUUUUGAGAGAGAAGAGGAUUGAUCCCAAUUUGAUUGCCUCACUGUCUGAGAUAAUGAAAGAUUUAUGCAAGGCAGCUGCCAAUCUACAGUAGGACUAAAGGAAGACAAAGUUUGUCAAAGGAAGACACAAAUAAUACAGAAAAGAAAAAGCUAAAGACGACUCAACUUGGACUACAAUAAAUUUGUUGAAAUAUACCAAAA